rnacentral:rRNA from 1 species
GAUGAACGCUGGCGGCGUGCCUAAUACAUGCAAGUCGAGCGAACAGACGAGGAGCUUGCUCCUCUGACGUUAGCGGCGGACGGGUGAGUAACACGUGGAUAACCUACCUAUAAGACUGGGAUAACUUCGGGAAACCGGAGCUAAUACCGGAUAAUAUAUUGAACCGCAUGGUUCAAUAGUGAAAGACGGUUUUGCUGUCACUUAUCGAUGGAUCCGCGCCGCAUUAGCUAGUUGGUAAGGUAACGGCUUACCAAGGCAACGAUGCGUAGCCGAGCUGAGAGGGUGAUCGGCCACACUGGAACUGAGACGCGGUCCAGACUCCUACGGGAGGCAGCAGUAGGGAAUCUUCCGCAAUGGGCGAAAGCCUGACGGAGCAACGCCGCGUGAGUGAUGAAGGUCUUCGGAUCGUAAAACUCUGUUAUUAGGGAAGAACAAAUGUGUAAGUAACUAUGCACGUCUUGACGGUACCUAAUCAGAAAGCCACGGCUAACUACGUG